GAACAAACGACAUAACGCAAAGCUAGUUUUACCUUUGCAAUGUUGUUGCUGUUGCUGUUUUGAUUUCGUAGAUUUAGGAAAUGCUACCAAAACAUAUUUGUGUUUCUUUUUCAGUAAAAACAAUAGAGGGAAGAACCAAAAAUUGUUGUAAAACUUGUUUUCUGUUCUUCAUUUUAAAGAGAAGCGAUAAAGAAGGAGAAGCCAAAAAGUAAUGAAAAC
rnacentral:misc_RNA from 1 species